UUAAUGCUCCCUCCGUCUGGAAUUACUUGUUGCUCAAACGGAUGUAUCCAGCACUAUUUUAGUGCUACAUACAUCCGUUUGAGCGACAAGUGAUUCCGGAUGGAGGGAGUAUUCG
rnacentral:pre_miRNA from 1 species